AAGCUCGUUUCAAACGAGUCGAGUCCGUUUGCCCAAUCAGAGGUAGAGACGUCACACUUCCGGUCUGUCUCGUAUGGCCCCAGUCAGCCAGCAGCUCUCUGUUUGUCCACCGACAUGCUGACGGUCGGACGCUUCGUGUGAGCAGCAGAUAAAUAAAAUUCCCUCUAUGGCUUCUGGAGCGGGUCCGAGAGCGACGGGCACAGCCGGCAGCCGCUUCCAGCACCGGGAGCGGGUCGCUUCACACGACCAGAUGAGGUCCGUUCUUUUUGCUGUUCCAGUCUCAUCCCUCAGAGGGAAGUGAGGCUGUGAGAAACAUCAGAUCCACCUGCAGCCAACACUGUUAGUCACUGUCAGUUUGUCUGCAGAUGCUCAUUUUGGCGACUUUUUAGAAGUGAAGUGUUUGUGCUUAGCAUUAGCAUCCAGUGCUAGUACCUGUCUGACAUCAUGAAAUAAAGACACCAUGUUUGAUUCAGUUUUUAUUGAGCCACAAUGUUGAAAUGUGCAGUUUGAUCUUUUGUCUGAUUCAUUUCAUGGGAAUGUGAUAAAAAUUAGCUUCAUUUUUAUUUGAUCCAAAAAUAUUGUAGCAUUUAAGAGUUGAUGUGUUAAUUGUUUAAUGACAAAGUGAAAUAAAGGUCACAGCUGACAAAGAA